GUCACAUUGUGAGCAAAAUAUUUUUCCUUGUAAAACUCUUGGAUGACUGGUUGCCUCUUUCUUUAUUGUAGGGUUGGUGGCUUUUGAGUAACAAGGUGGAGCUAACAACAGCUGCUGUUAUUGCAAAUGGCAUUGUUUUUCUGACUGGGUAUCGGGUUUUUAGAGGUGCUAACAAGCAGAAGCAUGUAUUCAAAAAGAACCCUAAAGCGCCAAUAUGGGGUAGGCCUCCAAAAGUUAUAGGGGGAAAGUUGCUGGCUUCUGGUUAUUGGGGAAUUGCAAGGCACUGUAAUUACCUUGGCGAUUUACUGGUGGCUUCUUCCUUCAGUUUACCCUGUGGGAUAAGUUCCCCAGUUCCGUACUUCUAUCCAGUUUAUCUUCUUAUUCUGCUAAUAUGGAGAGAGAGAAGAGAUGAAGCUCGGUGCGCAGAGAAGUAUAGAGAAGUGUGGGCAGAGUACUGCAAACUCGUUCCAUGGAGGAUAUUACCAUAUGUUUAUUAACCGGCUCAUUGACUAGAUGUAAUCCCGGGUUGUUGCCAAAAUUGGUCUUGUUGGCAUGUAGUACUGUGAUGCGGAGAGAGAACAUAUAUGGUCCAAAUGAGGAUUGUUGCUACCAUAAGAAUUGUGCAUUUUGGAAGAACUUUGCUAUUGUUGUUUGUACUUUGUGUAUAUUCUUUUGAGUUUUUGAUGGAUUUUGUCAAAUUCUAGAAAACCAAUUUUGUGGGUUUUCAGUAAAUUGAGGGUUUUAUCUAUUGAGGUUUUCAUCAAAAAAA